AUAAAAUUAUAAUAAAUAUAAGUAUAAAUUGUAUGUAAUAUGUACCAACUGGUUUAAAAUAAAUAUGUAUGUAAUCUUUAAUUAUAUUAAAUUAACUUUUUUAAACCCCGUCAAGACGGAAACCCCGUCAAGACGGAAAAAUGUCAUGGUCCCAUGCGAUUCCGUCUUAUCGAGGUUUUACUGUAUUAUUUACUUUUACAGUU